UAUUGGUUGAUGGGAUCGGCCAGGACAGGAUGGGAUUGUGUCCCAAGUGUAGUGUUUGGUUUGCAAUUUUGAGUUUGGGAUAAAUUAACCCAAACAGUGUUUUAACACCAAAAGACUGGGACUCAAUUGACCCAUUCCCCCCGGGUCAUAUUUGUCCCAAGCUCGAAGGUCUCUCUCGCUGGUGUCUCCCUCCCGUCGGUGUCUCUGGCUAUAUCAUUUUUGCCGGACUGUUCGCGUCUCUCACAGGAGUGGAAACUGCCAGACUUGAUAUUCAUGAGGAAGAAGGCUUAAUUUUGGAGGCUUAAACUAGAGCUAAAGCAUCCGAUUUGGAAGGUAAGUGUUCUGUUUUUGCCUAAGCAACUGAGAAUCACUUCCCAAAAGAGGCAUUCAAUAAAUGUAUAAUAAUAAAGCAGCAACGUUUUAACUAAAAGAAAACCACAAGCUUGUAAUUUCAAGAAGCUAAAAGAUAGGGUAGACAGAGACAAGACUAGAUCUUUGUGAAAGAAAAAUUAUAUCGUAGAUUCAACAAGGUUGCACAGAGACCUGAAGAUUUUUGUUUGGCAGCUGCUUGAUAUUGAAAGUGAAGUCCUCAUUCCAGGGCUUGAUAUUCACGAGGAAGAAGGCUUAAUUUUGGAGGCUUAAACUAGAGCUAAAGCAUCCGAUUUGGAAGUUCAUGUAACACCCCGUCCCGAAUCAUGUCGGAAUUUUUGCACGUUGACCGAGGUUGACCGUUGACCGUUGACCGAAGGGGUCAAAAGUUGACUUUUUGAUCUGAUUGGAAUUCUAGCUUGACUGAGGUACCGUUACGAAGUACACAUUGGCACGAGUUCGUAAACUGGUAGCACGUUGAAAACGAAGCUACAGUUUGAAAGUUAUGAGCAAAACAAGUUGAGGUCCAAACUGUCCAAGGGGUGCCGGAGUUGACUUUUUAUUCAUGCAAGGUUGAGCUUUGACUCAUGCAUGGUUGUGAAGUGUUCGUCGAUACGAGUCCGUAGACUAGCAGCACGUCCGAUUUGCACAUGUAGUUUGAAAGUUAUGGACCUGUAAAGUUUUUCAAAUACUGUAUUAUUUUAAUAUUAUUUUUACACGCAUAACGAUGUGCCACGUGUGACUCAAUGAAAGUGGCCAUGUGUCACCAUGGUGAAAUGCCACAUGUCAACCAUGUGUAAAAUCAAAUUAUUUUUAUUAUUAUUUUAAAUAAUAAUAUUAUUAUUUGAUUAUUUAAUUAUUUUUAUUUUUAUUUCUUUUAUUUAUCUUUUUCUUUUUCUUUUUCUUUUCUUUUCCCCACGUGGGAAAACACCUGUUUUUCUUUUUUUCUUUUUUUUUUCUUUUCCUUUUCUUUUCUUUUUUUCCCUUCUUCUUCCCCGAAACACACACACACACACAGUACCUUUUUUUUUUUUUUUUCUCCCACCGGCCGUCUCUCUCUCCCCCGUGUUUUCUUUUUCCGGCCACCCAUACUAUACACGCGCUGGCCAGUGAUGUGCGGAAGGAGGAGGCGAGCUCGGCCGCCAAGUUUCACGGCCAGCCGCCGCCGGACGCGCACCGAUCGGGCCGGAGAAGCCGCAGGCCUCCGGAUUUUCUCUCUCCUCUUUUCUUGUGUUUUCCGGCCAGUCCACUCCCAAUUGAGCCUCCUAUCCCCCUAUUUUGGGUCCUCUGAAUCCAAAAAUGGCCUCCAAUCCCAAAAAUUCGAAGCGGUUUGCGAGAUAUGGAGAAGUGAACACCGGCCGAACCUUUCCGGCCAAAUUCCGGCCACCUCCGGUGGAAUUGGGGUCGACGGAGACCGGAUUGGUGAUCCUCGUCCCACAAGCUUCGAUUCAGUAUAUCAUUCGCCUAUUUUGGUUAAAGUUUGCGUUUGACCCCCCGGGGACCGGGUAUUAUUUACCCGAUUAAAAUAUUAUUUUAUUUGACUGUCUGUGAAUUUUAUUCUAGGAGCACCGGUGAGUCGUAGAAUUGAUCCCGUAGUAGAUCGUGGGUUAAUUGCGUGCUCCAGGUGAGUGACCCACCUUCAAAAAUUAUUUUGAGCAAUUAAUUAAAUUUAAUUGGUAUUUAAUUUAGUAUUUAAAUUAUGCUCAUGUGGUGUGGUUUAAUUAUGGUUUUAAUGCGGUUUAAUUUAAUUUAUUUGUUAUGCAUGAGCAAGGUAUGUUUCGGUAUUAAUUUUACAUGGUUUCAAAUGUGAUUUCUCGGGCAUAAUUGGGUUAAAUAUUUUAUGAAAAUAUUUGGUUAAAUUUUAUAAAUUAUGUCCGCGGUAUUUUUAUGGUUGCAUCUCGUAUUUCGAGGAAAAUUGUGGUUUAUUGAUUAUCGCUGUUUCGUACCGGGUUAUUGGAUAAAAUAUGUGGGAUGGUGUUUUGUGAGAUUUUGGUAUACUUCCCACGGUGGUUUUUGGAAAAACGGUACGGUUGGUUACUUAUGUUUAUUUUUAGACGCACUCAUACAGUAUUGGUGUUCUGGUGUAUGGUGUAUGGACACGUGGUUUAGCACGCGGUUAUUAUAUGGUUUAGCGUGUGGUUUUUACUUCACCCGUGAGUUGCCAUUGGACCGUGGGCAGGCAAGGUUAUUGUUGCGCACAGCCGCCCCCCUCCUUGGCCGGGUGAUGGUUUUUUUAGCAGUUGGUACUGUCGGGACGCCGAAGUGACCGCUGCAGGUUUCUCUCUUUAACCCCCCGCCAGUCGGUGCUCGGGACGCUGGGUAUCGGAGGGCAUCACCGGUAUAUGGUGUGGUGCGUCAGGUGUAAUUGUCGGUGUAAAUUGCAAAUAGUAUUUUAAACCCCAAAGGUGUUCUAAAAUUAUUUAUUAUAAUUUAUUACAUUUUUAUUAUAUUUGGGGUAUUUAUUUAUUUAAUUGUUGUUUGUUAAAUUAUUUAAUCCCUUGGUUUUUGGGAGGUAUGCACAUUGGGUUUUGCGAAAAGGUUUUAAAAAGGGAACAUUUCAAACGGAGCGAUUGGUGAGAGUUUUGAGGGAAAUUAUUAUUUUCCAACAGUAAUUAUUAUUUAUUUAUUAAUUGCUAGUAUUUGUUCUAUUCCUUAAUUGCUAUUACUAUUAUUUUUAUUAUCACAAAAAGGUGUUCAGUAGUUCGGGUUACUCACGGAGAUGAUUAGCAUCUCACACUCUUAAAUUCCGUUCCCUUAGGUGCAAGUGGUGGUAGGCGUUCUUCCGGAGCGAACCAAGUUUUCCGCUGCUGUUGUGUUUCGAAAAGUUUCUUGUACUAUUUCAUUUCAGUGUAUUAUUUCUUUUAAGCCUUGUUGUAUUUCGGUUGUUUAGCACUUCUUAAAGCUCUGUAUACUAUUGGGAUACUUCUGUUUUAUUUAUGCACUGGACUGUUGUUGUUUU